UACAGAGGUCUCAAGCGUUGUUCGGAAUUACUGGGCGUAAAGCGCACGUAGGCGGGUCGUUAAGUCAGGGGUGAAAUCCCAGAGCUCAACUCUGGAACUGCCUUUGAUACUGGCGACCUAGAGUCCGGAAGAGGUUAGUGGAAUUCCCAGUGUAGAGGUGAAAUUCGUAGAUAUUCGGAGGAACACCAGUGGCGAAGGCGGCUCACUGGCCCGAUACUGACGCUGAGGCACGAAAGCGUGGGGAGCAAACAGG
rnacentral:rRNA from 1 species